CGGAGAGGCAAGCAGCACCGCACAGCAUAACAGGCUCCAAGGAGGAACAGGAGAAGGCUGACUCCUGCCUGCCCCAGGUCCCCACUCCCCACUCUCCACGAGGACUCCUUGGGACACCAUCUUGAGGACUGGCCCAGGCCUCAAAGCCCAUAGCUACAUGGGCUACCAGCCGUGGAACCAGAGAUGCGUGGGUGGGGAGGGAGGAACUAUGCAGAAAGUGUACAGGGUAAAGGAGAGGGCUCUGAGUCAGAUGCCAGGAUUCACCAAAUAGAGACCAAGAGAGGGCUGUUUGUUUGGGGAUUUGAGGCUGGCAGCAGCAGUGCAGCAGGGGAGACACUGCUGAGUGGGGAGAGGAUUAAGGACAGGGAUCAACCCGAGUUAGGGAUCAGGUUAGCGUGUGUGUAGAAGGGGUAACUUUGAAGUCAGGGCUGAGGUUAAACUAUGGUCCUGGUAUUUGCAUGGCUUCUCUGGGCUCCCUUUCCAGUCGGGCCCCUACUCAGUGACUGGGAACAUCUCAUUAAAGAAAAGGGAAUUGAGGAAAGACUAACCAGUAGGGGCAGACAUUCUUCCUGGCUUCUCCUCCCAUCUCUCACAGAAUUCCCACAGCAACAUGGGUUUCCUUUCUGGAUAGUGAGGGGCGGGGGGUUAGCCUAUGCCCUUCUGCCCCAGCCCCGGUCACCCUAGGGGAAGCUGGCCACUGGGGAAAAGGAACUUGGGAGACCCUUAGGGUCUGGGGGGUUGUAAUGACAGCCUGGGCUUCAUCCACAGGGCAGUCAUCAAGGCAGAUUCACUGACCAGCAAGGAGGGGCUGCAACCACAACCUUAACAUCUGGAGCUUUGGUCAACAAGCCCUUCAUUGACCUUUCAGUUCUGUGGAAGAGCAUCACCAACAUCAUUCCCUAAACUGAUGAACUGGCCUUGUUGAACAGACUGACAUUCCUGUUGUCAUAUCAGCCGAAAUGACCUGAAGGAGCCGGGGGGGAUGUAGGAGGAUAGGUUUCUGGAGUCCCUUAAGGGAGCUGUACUGAGAUUUGUGGAUAAAUACAACACACUGUACUCUCAUCGUGGUCCACUGUGCUCCCUCAGGAGGGAUCCGUGGAGGGGAGGCUUGUCUUUUCUCCUCUUGCUUCUUCACCGGAGAAGCUGGGGGGUCCGAUGCACGGGAUGGGUUGAGCUGGAGAUUUCAGGCUGAUCCGAUGGAAGAGGCCAUUACAGGGACAAGCCAUGCUUCACUAGUGCAAAAUUCCUGCUCAGCACUGGGAGGAAAUUCGUGCAGGGAAAAAGCCCCUCCAGGCCAGUAGUGGGGGCAGAAGCACCAGGGAAGAAGUGGCAGGAACCUUGGUGAAGCCCAAGGGGGUAGCAUCCUCAUUCAGGAGCGUGGCACCAAAGGAAUAUCAGUAGUAACUUGUGUGUAUUGCACAGUCAAGGCAUGCGAGGCUCCCUGCGCUUUACCUGCAUGACCUCACUGGAUCCUCCCAACCAUCCAGUUAGGUAAGAGGUACUGCUGUUGCCCCAUGUUAUAGAAAAUCACAUGGAGGCUCACACAAGUUAAGAAACAUGGCUAAGAACACAUAAUAAGUGGAGGGAGAAGCAGCCUAAGAGCUACCAAGGAUAUUCUGAAAACGAAGAGGUCUCUCUCCUGUUUAGAAUCAGUAAGGAGGAGACUCAGUGAAAAGGAGAGAGGAAAGAGGUACAUGUGGGAGAUCCUGUCAUGGGGACGAGGGCCAAAGGCUCAGGGGGGAAGCCACUCUGAUGACAGGAGGCCUCUUUACAAGGACAGGAACAGUGACACAGAAGGCCCGGCUCAAAGCGCGGACCAGUAAUGAUAGCAACUGCCACAUACUGAGCACUUCGUAGUUUCCAGGUACUGUGUGAAGGGCUGUUCAUACUCUGUAACCAUUUAAGCCUCCCACAACCCAAAGGCAGAAGUUCCCUUAUGAUCCCCAUUGUAUGGAUGAGGAAACUAAGGCUCAGAGGGGCCAGGGCACUUGCUGGGGGCAACUUAGGAGAAAGCAGCAGGCCUGUCUAUUGCCAGAACCUGACCUUGCACAGUUGCCUAUCACGUCUUUAGAACACUCGCCAAGCACGGGCCUGAGUGCUGGGAGACCUACAUUCCAGUCAGAACCGUGCGCCUGUAGGCUGCAUCCUUCCCCUCCAGGGGCCACCAUUUCCUCCCAUAUAAAGGCGUGUGGGUGUCUGCAGGAGAGGACUGCAAACAUGGCUUCCAGCUCCAAAAUUCCAUCAACCGUGGGACCAGAAAUAAGAGACAGUGUUCUUGCCCUUUGGGGAAUCUACAGGCUUCGUGGGGAGAUGAGGUAUAUUAACAGAACAUGAAAACAAAUACAAAGCGAUGCAUCAAUAAGGACUAAAUGACACACCAGGGAGGGGAGGGGCCUGAUGUGCACAGUAAAGGUGAUGCUUCUGGCACUUUGUGUUCUCCUUGUUUUUCCUUAUCUGUAGAAUACCACCAUUUUUUUUUAAGUUUUAUUUUUGUUUUUUAAUUUAUUUUUUACCCUUUUUUUUUUUUUUUUUUUUUCCUUUUUGGCUGCACUGUGUGGCUUGCGGGGUCUUAGUUCCCUGACCAGGGAUUGAACCCGUGCCCCCUGCAGUGGAAGCGCUGAGUCCUAACCCCUGGACCGCCAGGGAAGUCCCCAAAAUACCACCGUUUUAAUCACAUAUGUUGCUUCUGUCCCCUGGCAAUAUUUUACUGCAAAGAUGAAAGAAUUUUACAGUGGAUACCUGCAUAUCCGCCACUUAGAUUCCACCACUAGCACAUGACUACGCUUGCUUUAUCGCACUUCCACUCAUCACCCACCUAGCCAUCUAGCCACGUACCGAUACAUUUUUGAUGUGUUUCCUAGUAAAUCGCAGACCUUUGUUUCAUGCGUUUCAAGAAACAGAAGGGUUCAUUCCUACCACGCAUUUCCUGAGGGUCUACUCUGUGCUGGACAUCGUUUCGCCUGGACUGGAGGAGUCCCUUCCGAGAAGGGAAUUGUUCUUUCAGAAAGUAAAAGCUUUC